GCCGAUCCACCCACGCGGUGUUCUCCCGGCACCCCCAGAGGAAGUUCCUCCCCGGGAACUCCCUCCUACUGUACUUCCCCAACCAAUGGGAACUCUCCAGGAGUCCCAUAGCAGGCCGAGGAACAGCAGGAGUCCAAUAUCCAUAUGAAUGCGAAUCUUAACAUAAUCAUGUCAUCUCAAUGGUUAGCUGGCAUCAUCUUUCAACCAAAAAUGCCAUGCAUCAUAUACUUGGCUGACUCUUAGCAUCUCCCCCCUUCUGUUUAAUUAAGCAACAAGCAAUGUGGCUAGGGACCGUGCCUGUUAGGUUUGUCCAAUUCAACAUAUGGUUCUUACCCGUCAUCGGAAAACUGACCUCUAGGCGUCAGCCUCCUGUCUUAGGUUGAUACCACUGCAAUUGGAUCAUACCCCACUGACUACUGGUCCAGCAUAUAGCCAUACUUGUGGAUAGGCCUAUGCACCAGUGUGGGGGGGUGAGGUUCUUUGCCUCACCUCUGUUGGCCCCCAAAAUUAGAUCAUCACUAGUAGAAGGGAGGAGGAUACAGAAAUGCCACGACACCAAGCCAAUUGACGGCUCCUAGGAAAAAUUGCAUCACUGGUGACACAUCAGCAAAGAUAUGCUAGCACUACCAUAAUUCGCUGCAUCAACAGAUAGAUCACAAUGCAUACAAGUGAU
rnacentral:lncRNA from 1 species